AGCGAACGUUAGCGGCGGGCUUAACACAUGCAAGUCGAGCGAGAAAAGGGCUUCGGCCCUUAGUAAAGCGGCGGACGGGUGAGUAACACGUAGGUAAUCUUCCCUUGAGCGGGGGACAACGAGCCGAAAGGCUCGCUAAUACCGCAUAAGUUCUCAGAGACCUCGGUCUUUGGGAGGAAAGCUAGGUAGCAAUAUCCGGCACUCGAGGAGGAGCCUGCGUCGCAUCAGCUAGUUGGUGGGGUAAUGGCCUACCAAGGCGAAGACGCGUAGCUGGUCUGAGAGGAUGAUCAGCCACACUGGGACUGAGACACGGCCCAGACUCCUACGGGAGGCAGCAGUGGGGAAUAUUGGACAAUGGGCGCAAGCCUGAUCCAGCCACGCCGCGUGAGUGAUGAAGGCCUUCGGGUCGUAAAGCUCUGUGGGGAGGGACGAACCGCCGGAGGGUUAAUUGCUUUCCGGGCAUGACGGGUACCUCCUUUAGCAAAGCACCGGGCUAACUUUCGUGCCAGCCGCC
rnacentral:rRNA from 1 species